CCAAUAGCGUAUAUUAAAGUUGUUGCAGUUAAAAAGCUCGUAGUUGAAUUUCGGAAUCUGUCCAUCGGUCGGGCUUCACUGUCCGUACUGGUGUGGUGGGUUCUUACCUUCUGAAUAACCAGCAUGCCAUUAAUUUGGUGAGUUGGGGAAGCAGGACUAUUACCUUGAAAAAAGUAGAGUGCUAAAAGCAGGCCAGGGCCUGAAUACAUUAGCAUGGAAUAAUAAAAUAGGACGGCAUGGUUCUAUUUUGUUGGUUUCUAGGAUCACCGUAAUGAUGAAUAGGGAUAGUUGGGGGCAUUAGUACUCAAUUGUCAGAGGUGAAAUUCUUGGAUUUAUUGAAGACUAACUUCUGCGAAAGCAUUUGCCAAGGAUGUUUUCAUUAAUCAAGAACGAAAGUUAGGGGAUCGAAGACGAUCAGAUACCGUCGUAGUCUUAACCAUAAACUAUGCCGACUAGGGAUCGGACGAUGUUAAAUUUUUAAUGACUCGUUCGGCGCCUUACG
rnacentral:rRNA from 1 species